GCCCGUAUGGCCAAGUGGCAAGGCACCUCACUUGUACUUUUGAUGGAUGAGGCGAUCGCUGGUUCGAUUCCGGCUGGGGGCA